rnacentral:rRNA from 1 species
GACGAACGCUGGCGGCGUGCUUAACACAUGCAAGUCGAACGGAAAGGCCCUGCUUUUGUGGGGUGCUCGAGUGGCGAACGGGUGAGUAACACGUGAGUAACCUGCCCUUGACUUUGGGAUAACUUCAGGAAACUGGGGCUAAUACCGGAUAGGAGCUCCUGCUGCAUGGUGGGGGUUGGAGAGUUUCGGCGGUUGGGGAUGGACUCGCGGCUUAUCAGCUUGUUGGUGGGGUAGUGGCUUACCAAGGCUUUGACGGGUAGCCGGCCUGAGAGGGUGACCGGCCACAUUGGGACUGAGAUACGGCCCAGACUCCUACGGGAGGCAGCAGUGGGGAAUAUUGCACAAUGGGCGGAAGCCUGAUGCAGCAACGCCGCGUGCGGGAUGACGGCCUUCGGGUUGUAAACCGCUUUCGCCUGUGACGAAGCGUGAGUGACGGUAAUGGGUAAAGAAGCACCGGCUAACUACGUGCCAGCAGCCGCGGUGACACGUAGGGUGCGAGCGUUGUCCGGAUUUAUUGGGCGUAAAGGGCUCGUAGGUGGUUGAUCGCGUCGGAAGUGUAAUCUUGGGGCUUAACCCUGAGCGUGCUUUCGAUACGGGUUGACUUGAGGAAGGUAGGGGAGAAUGGAAUUCCUGGUGGAGCGGUGGAAUGCGCAGAUAUCAGGAGGAACACCAGUGGCGAAGGCGGUUCUCUGGGCCUUUCCUGACGCUGAGGAGCGAAAGCGUGGGGAGCGAACAGGCUUAGAUACCCUGGUAGUCCACGCUGUAAACGGUGGGUACUAGGUGUGGGGUCCAUUCCACGGGUUCCGUGCCGUAGCUAACGCUUUAAGUACCCCGCCUGGGGAGUACGGCCGCAAGGCUAAAACUCAAAGGAAUUGACGGGGCCCCGCACAAGCGGCGGAGCAUGCGGAUUAAUUCGAUGCAACGCGUAGAACCUUACCUGGGUUUGACAUGGAUCGGGAGCGCUCAGAGAUGGGUGUGCCUCUUUUGGGGUCGGUUCACAGGUGGUGCAUGGCUGUCGUCAGCUCGUGUCGUGAGAUGUUGGGUUAAGUCCCGCAACGAGCGCAACCCUUGUUCACUGUUGCCAGCACGUUAUGGUGGGGACUCAGUGGAGACCGCCGGGGUCAACUCGGAGGAAGGUGGGGAUGACGUCAAGUCAUCAUGCCCCUUAUGUCCAGGGCUUCACGCAUGCUACAAUGGCUGGUACAGAGAGUGGCGAGCCUGUGAGGGUGAGCGAAUCUCGGAAAGCCGGUCUCAGUUCGGAUUGGGGUCUGCAACUCGACCUCAUGAAGUCGGAGUCGCUAGUAAUCGCAGAUCAGCAACGCUGCGGUGAAUACGUUCCCGGG